CCUAAUUUCAGCCUUUGGAAAAUAAUCUUUUUAAAGUUCCUUGGAGGUCAGCCUAGAGGCCUGGGAAAUGAAGGAUGGAACCAAGAAAUAAACACAGGGCUAAACUGAGUUUCCCACAACAUACAGUUCAGACCUCAGUCAGAACCUCCCCAGUCUGGCCUCUCCAUGGCACUCAUGUUUUGCCUCAUCUUAUGUUGUAUCUCAGUGAACUGAUACUGGCACACUCUGCACACAUAUUUGGGCAAAUGAUGCUGUAUUGAGGAAGGAAGAGAUUGAGGACUAGCCUUUACACAACACAACGCAUUGCCAGCAACUGACAUAGGCUAGCAGGCUGAUGUUCUGGGGCAGUAUUUAAGGCAUUGUCAGUUGGUUGGUCUUGCCCAGAUGCAUAGAGCAGAUCAAGUACAGCAGGAAUGGCUGUAGAAGAGCAGAGAUGAAGAUCUCCCACUUCUCCUCACAUCUGAGUUGACUCAGGUUCUGUGGGCAAACAUACCUGUGAGUUUCUUUCACAGAGAGGAACAGUUUCAACAGGAAAAGGUGAAGUGUCCUUGUUUCAAAAUAGGCUGUAUCUGGAGAAGGAGAACAGUCCUAAAGAGAUGGCAGAGAACCAAAUAAACAAAAAUAAAAAUAAGGACAAAAAUAAAAAAUAAAAAUAAAUGCAACAUUAUGAGUCGUCACAGGAAAUGCUUUCCUGUAUGUUAAUAUAUAAAACGUGCAAUUUCUACAAACUGUAUAUUUAAAAAACAUCCUUGGCAGUAAGAUAUACAGAAAGUAACAGAGUAUGAAGAAGUAAGGUCCAGUCAAAACUUUGCAACGAAGCUGCCUUUGUAGCCACUGAAGGCAGAUACACUCCUCAGGAGAUGUGCAUUUUGGUGGUAGAUUUCUGAUACCUGCACUUCUUAGAAUACAGUCAACUUCUGCUCGUGACUAUUGAAUUUCACUCUUAUCAUCUCCUUUACUGACCUGAAGCUCUUGGGGCUGUGUAGGAAUCUCAAAUUCUGGGGCUGUCAUACCUUCGUUUGGAAUGCACUCAAGGAAUAAACAGCCUCCAAAUUAAUGGAAAACGAGCCCAAAAUUUUGCACAUUUUAUUUCUACUAACUGCUGAAUUCUUCAAGCCAUCAAGCAUGGGAAGACCUCAAAGGAUAUGCUUACUGUGCUUACUACUACAGAAUAUUAACAGCAGAAGGAAAAUGCAGGAAAAUCCCACCCUUGAGAUGGCAGCAGAGGGAUUGUCUGACAAAAUGGAGUCUGACCUGGAAAGGCAUAUGAAGUGUGGAACUGAACUCCUCCAUGUGGAAAAAAUGGAACCCAUUGACAUUCAUUGAUGUUUGUUGAACAUUUAUGGAGACCAACCAGUGGAUGUGAGCGCUGCGAGGUGGCUCCUGGUCCCUCCCCAUGACAGGACCAGUGGAACCAGCGGAGCUAUUUCUCUUCAUGUCUUUGUCCUUAAGAGAGGCCUAGGUGACAACAAAGCUGCUGACCAGAAGUUAUCUGGAAUGAGGUAAGAUGAAAAUAUGAGAGAGAAGCAAUGACUGCUGCCUUCUGUACACCUUACUUUUCAUUUUGUAGUGAAACAUUGAGUUUGCACUGGUAUUGGCUUUUUUUCUUACUUUUAUUUUUAAGAAAUUCUUUUUUAUAUUGCUGACUUUCCAAGACUCUCUCCUUUUUAGAGGGAUAAUUCUUUCCUUCCACAUUUGCAUGUCCUGUGCCAGAAACCAAAAAGAGGAAAGGAAACCUGGUCUUUUCUCCUGUUUUGUAUGCUUGCAUGUGUAUUUAAGAUUUUUCCUUUUCUGAUUCGAAACAUACAUACUAGCAGCCCAGUAGAAUUUAUAUUUUCUUAGUUUUUUUUUUAAUUAAUCUUCAUCAGACAUAGUUAAAAUGGAUACUCAGGCCUGGUAUAAGCUUAUUUCUUUAGUCAUCCACAUCCAAAGUAUAUGUUUGUAAUAAUCUGUGAAGCGACAGUAUGGCAGUCCUCCAGUUUCCAUACUAUCACUCAAUAGUUUUUUACCUCACUGUCAAGGAAUAUUAGCAAUCCCUAGGAGCAAGGAAGUCCAGAAGCUAUACCUGACAUUGCCCAAAACUCAUGACAAAGUAAGUCCAAUCUGGACGUCACAUUUGGAAUAGAUGGUUACUUUCCUUCACAUCUCUAUUAUAGCUAGCUCAUUCACAUUUGUCUUGCCAAUCACGUGAGCAAAUUCAUGAGAAAAGCAAAUCAAAAAGCAUAACACGGCACUGACAAAUGUCUGGAUGAGAUAGGUGACCUAUCUGUUCCUCCCUCAAGUCUGGCAUGCAUGAGAUUUAUUCAUGAAUAAAGCUUUAUGACUGUACACUGCACUGCCAUCACAACACCCAUAUAUAACUUUAAGACAAUUCUGCCAGAUAUGCAUGGUCAGCAAAAUGGAGAGAAAGGUGCUGGGUGUUGGGUCCCAUGGUCAAAGGAAACUUGUGAAAGAAUAUUUCUCUGUGUCAGAGGAAUGCUACUUCCUUUCCGCAUGCAAAAUGGCAAUAGUCUCUAAAUUGUUUGAAGAGUCUUUCAUAAAUCUCAUUUAUACUGGCCUGGUAUUGGUAACUUAAAUAGUCCCUGUUAUAAAGCAGUCUUUUAACAGCAAUAGCAGUGCUUGGCAUAGCAAACACUUAGGCCCAGCUGCUCUGUGGGCAUUACUGCCAUAUCAUAAUAUCAUUGAUCUGUAAAAUAAAGAUAAACCUUGGAAAUAAGUAGCAAUGCUUCUUCUUCAGAGUUAUGUUUAAUGAAACAUACUUUUCAUGUAGUGAUUUAAUUUCAGUUGGACUAGUUUAAUAAGUAAGGUCAAGACCUUUUAAGAACUGCAGAGAUCAAUGUUGUUGAUCUACACAAAUUAGAGUUCCACAGCAUUACCCUUGAAGCAGUGUGGGAGGCUGAUAAAUGCACGAGAUGUGGUUUUAAGACAUAAUAUUGAAAACAGCAUUCCUGUGAUUAUAUAGCUAAUAUAACAUUUUGAUUUGGAAACUUGAAUAUGUGAACUGGAAGUCGUAACGUACCAAGCUUACUUCCUUUCUCUGCUAGUAAUGCAUUUUGUGUUCUUGAGGACCAUCUGCCCUUAUAAGACAAUUGUAGCUGUCCCAUAGAGUUACUGUGAGCAUUAGUUAAUUACCACUAUAUGCUUUGAACACAUAAAGCCCCAUAGCUCACAGAAACAUGUAUUAUAAAGUAUAACUAUGCAGUUAUUGGAAAAGUCCCUGAUUGUCUCUUUGAGACAACUGUCACGUAGCACUUACUAUACAUAGGAAGUGACACACAAUGACGAAGCAGUUAAAACUCAAAAUGAUAUUCUUGCUCCAAGACAGAGCAUUUGCAUUUUUGGAGAAUGGUCUUGUUUCUUUUUACAGAUUGGCUUAAGAAGCUUUCAGAAAGGCUAAAAAUACCUUUUUAUAUUAACUAGCUUUCCCUUUCUUUGAGCUAAGCACACUGAGGUGUGGAAUGGUUUUGAUGAGCUCAUGAAUAUUGACACUAGAGCUACAAAGCUACAAACACUAGUGCAUCAUAUGAGCCCAUUUUACAUAAUGGUAGGAACUAUUCAUUACUAA
ensembl:lncRNA